GCAGCAAAAUAUAUUUAUCAAUUUUCUACAAGUCAAACUUCGCUCCCUCUGGUCCUUCAUCUUUUCGUCUUCAAUUUGCUUCUAUUUAUUCGCUGUUGCCUAUCAUAAGUUGCUUCAAUCAACUAGAGCUCAUCGUUUACCCCAUGUUUAGAGGUGACCAUGGAUUCAGAACUUCUGCAUGCGGAGGGUCUAAAUUUUUUAAUGCACCAUCCAAGAAUCGAAAAUAGAAUCCCUAUUUUCCAGGCACAUGAGUGUUAUCAUCAUCAAAAAAACAAAAAAUAACAAUUGCUCUGGAUUAACUUGCUCUGCAAGUUUUGCUAGAAGAUAUUCCCCAAUUGUUCCAAGCGAAACUUUAUGAUACGAUGGCGAUGCCUUUUCGUGAUAUUGCUAAUAUUUGGCUGCACAAUCGCUCAGAGGCUAAGCAAGAUAAUCUUAACACUGGCCAAUCAAAUUGAAGCUUCGCUCGUGUUCAACCUAAUCUAACCUCAGACUUAACACACCUGUGGCAUUUGGCAUUCUCGAACCUAGCCGUCAAAUGUAGGUCUCUGUUCAAGACAACAAGCCACUUAUUUGAUUAGUAGACAUGAUUCACUUGAUUAUGAUUACCACCCUUUCCCAGCA
rnacentral:lncRNA from 1 species